GUACGGGGAAGGAUGAGAAGCUUCGACUAAGGUUCGAUUCGAGCGCAGCGAGAAAGCGUUGCCGCAGGCAACGACCCGAAGGGCGAAGCGCGCAGCGCUGAGUCAUCCUUCCCCCACCACCA
rnacentral:sRNA from 2 species